GUACGUGAGAUUUUGGACUAAGGGUUGUGGCUGAGGGGGAGACAUUACUGGAAUUUCUUAAUAUGAGUGAUGAUAAACCUUUCCAAUGCACUGCUCCUGGGUGUGGACAGAGAUUUACAAAUGAAGACCACUUGGCUGUCCACAAACACAAACAUGAGAUGACCCUGAAGUUUGGCCCAGCGAGGAAUGACAGUGUCAUUAUCGCUGACCAAACCCCUACACCCACCCGCUUUUUGAAGAACUGCGAGGAGGUCGGACUCUUCAAUGAACUUGCGAGCCCGUUUGACCAUGACUUCAAAAAAGCGACAGAAGAUGACAUUAAAAAGUUACCACUGGAUUUGUCACCUCUCGCCACACCUAUCAUACGCAACAAAACGGAAGAACCCACACCUCUGGAGGCGCAUCGAGAUAGCCCGCUGCCUCAUCCUGAAUCAACUACAAACGACGACAAGCCCAGUGUCUGGCACCUUCCCUGUGCUCUUACAGCUGCCUAACGGUCAGACCAUGCCAGUCACAAUACCUGCGUCUAUUACAAGCUCAAGUGUACAUAUUCCAACUACAAUCCCUCUUGUCAGACCCGUCACCGUAGUGCCUAAUGUCCCCGGGAUCCCAGGACCUCCUUCCCCACAGCCACAGCCCGCCCAAUCAGAGGCAAAGCUG